rnacentral:rRNA from 1 species
ACGGAGGGUGCGAACGUUAAUCGGAAUUACUGGGCGUAAAGCGCGCGUAGGCGGUUCGGUAAGUGGGGUGUGAAAUCCCCGGGCUCAACCUGGGAAUUGCAUUCCAAACUGCCGGACUCGAGUAUGGUAGAGGGAGGUAGAAUUUCCUGUGUAGCGGUGGAAUGCGUAGAUAUAGGAAGGAAUACCAAUGGCGAAGGCAGCCUCCUGGACCAAUACUGACGCUGAGGUGCGAAAGCGUGGGGAGCAAACAGG